GACGAACGCUGGCGGCGUGCUUAACACAUGCAAGUCGAACGGGAAGGCCCUGCUUUUGUGGGGUGCUCGAGUGGCGAACGGGUGAGUAACACGUGAGUAACCUGCCCUUGACUUUGGGAUAACUUCAGGAAACUGGGGCUAAUACCGGAUAGGAGCUCCUGCUGCAUGGUGGGGGUUGGAAAGUUUCGGCGGUUGGGGAUGGACUCGCGGCUUAUCAGCUUGUUGGUGGGGUAGUGGCUUACCAAGGCUUUGACGGGUAGCCGGCCUGAGAGGGUGACCGGCCACAUUGGGACUGAGAUACGGCCCAGACUCCUACGGGAGGCAGCAGUGGGGAAUAUUGCACAAUGGGCGGAAGCCCGAUGCAGCAACGCCGCGUGCGGGAUGACGGCCUUCGGGUUGUAAACCGCUUUCGCCUGUGACGAAGCGUGAGUGACGGUAGUGGGUAAAGAAGCACCGGCUAACUACGUG
rnacentral:rRNA from 1 species